rnacentral:lncRNA from 13 species
UCCUUCCUCGCUCCAUAGUCUGUUAUGUUGUGUUGUGGGAUCUACCGGAGGCUUCGUUUUUUUNNNNNNNNNNCAGGCAGGCCAGCGCAUCGGCCUGACCAUCAAUCAGCUCUACCUGCUGCUGCCUAGUGAGCUCACCCUCUGGGUGGACCCCUUCGAGGUGUCCUACCGCAUCGGCGAGGACGGCUCCAUCUGCGUGCUCUACGAGUCCCAGCCGGUGGCCCCGGCGCCGUCGGGAGGCAGUGCGGUCACCUCGACCCCCAUGGUGGACAGUCACAUCAGCUGCAAGGAGGCGGCGGGGAUGCUGGGCAGGACCAGCCCUUCCAAAGCCUACAACAUGAUGACUAUGUCCAGCUAAGGGCUGCCACCCGCCACGUCGGGUCGUGGGUUUCGCCCUAGUUGGUCGAUGGCGAACCUUUUUAAAGCUAAAAAGAAAUGAAAUGAAAAAGAGAAAAAAAAGGAGGAGAAAAGGCAGAGGAUGUGGCCUAUCGUCCAGGUGAAACCUUGUAGGUUUGAUAUUUCUUUCUCCUUCCUCGCUCCAUAGUCUGUUAUGUUGUGUUGUGGGAUCUACCGGAGGCUUCGUUUUUUUCCCCGCGGGGAGGACUGUGUGGAGCGUGGAGCUGUUGGGGGCAGCUAAAACAAACCAAGAAACCGAACAGAGAAACAGCGCAGAGAAGGGGCUGCUUUUUGUUUUUUUACACAGAUCUAUCAUUGUUGACUUUGCACUUUCUUCUCCACGUGGUUACAAUGGGUACCAUGUCACCACCACCCCCACCACCCUCUCAAAAGCUUCAAGGAACUGCUGUCAAGAACCAUACCGUUAAAUUUCAGCCUUUUAUCUACUUCCUGUUGUUAUUGGGUGUACUUCCUGUCUAGGAAGGAAGUUAAGGGGCUGAGGUCCGGACUGUGCCUGUUUCUAGGUCAGUCUCUGGGGAAACGCUCUAAGUCAUUUUCUUCUAAAACCCAGUUUUUGGACCAUAGGGUAUUUCUUUACCCCCAGAGGCUGCCCCAUAUACCAGCGUCGAGCUUCAGGAAGCCCCUCCCCCUCCAUAUGGAAGCGCACCCCACCAACACCCCCAACCAUGUAUGUGUAGCUUUCUGGGGAGGGCUGGGUAUUUGUCCCCUCCCCUUCGAUCAAUGUUGGUUUGAAAUUCACAAUCAAGUUCUCGUUUUGUUUAUAUCCCUCCAUCCCCACCCUGACCUUUGGCCCUCUCCAAAUUCAUAGUGUAGCACAGGUGGCACUAUAUUCUCACCGAAAUCUGGAUCGUUUGUUUUGGUUGUUGUGGCCCUGUCAGAAGAAAUGACAUUGAAUGCACUUUUGACAUUUAGAUUGUGUGGGAUGUGUACUUCUAGAGAAAACCAUCUUCAUUCCAUUCGUUCCAAUGUCAUCUUUCAUGAGCUCCUUUUCUUUUGUAAAUUACUCACAGCUCUUACGUCAGGCCAAACCCCACUCUAUAGAAUUUGGGAGAGUAACUGAAGGUUUUAAAAAGAUUUCACACUGUAAGCAUUUCAUUCAGAUCCGUUCAGGUGUUGGUAGGUAGGUGCGGUUUGGUGUCGUGUCAGGUUAGGCGUCUGUUGUCCGUUUGUAAGGCACUUUUCUCAGAAGNNNNNNNNNNGAGAACCAGCGUAAUGUUAGCCAGCCUGGUUCGAGGUGCUGCUGGACCCUCUCUGGAGGUGUGCCUGUCAGGGCAGACAGACACAAGAAGCCCCUCUGGUGCCACAUAUCACCCCCAGCCAGCUAACCAACCAGCCAACCCCCUCCCCCAAUAGCAGUACGGAGAUAGCAGUAACACAUAUCACCUUUCCUCGCCCCAGGGGAGGGAAUGGAGGUGGUGCGGGGGCCAGGGCCGGAUACUCUCGUCCAGGGCAGCUACAAUCCCUCCGGCCCCCUCUAAACUAACCUCCACCCAACCAACUUGGCGGUGGAGAGCAAAGCCAGCACAUGCACUCAGCGCACUCCGUCUGCACUGGGAGCCCACAUAGAGACAGGCAACAAAGAGGAGUCAAAGGAUAGGAAGUGACGGUACACAGUCCAAAUUUCUUUGUUUCUUAGGCUGAGCACUGAACUAGUUUACAUGAGUGCAAUAGGACGAUGGUGGUGUCAGUCGUUCUAUAGCUCACUCCUGGUUGGUCACGCUGCAGACAGACAGAUGAUGUGACAGGCUGUGGGGUUUCGGGGCUUUUAGCCGCUAAGCUGGCCAGGCUGGGCACCAGCCCAUCAGACCUACAUGUGCUGCUUUAAGCUCCCUAAGCACAGAGGAUCAUGGGUAAUGGAUCUGUGGUUGUUGAUGCACUGCACACCCUAUCCUCCCUCAUCCACUCCCCUCCUCCUCACUGUCC